UUCCGCACCCAAUCCCCCGUCUCCCCAGCCCCAGCCCCCACCGGACAAACCCUAGCCUCACAUCCCGCACUCCUCCCUCCUCCUCCUUCCUCGUUAGCCGCCGCCGCCACCGUUCUGCCUUCCUCCUUUCUGUCCUACAACCAUGCCGUCGGGAGGAAGCCGUCGUCCGUGGCGCCAUACCGCUGUUGGGGUGCUGCGCACGCUUCGUUCCCCACAGCCCCUCCCUCAUCCUCGGUCGUCACCGCCGCUGCCUUCUACUCCCCUCCACCAUCGUUGCUGCUUCUAGGUCGAAUCUGGCGUUGGUGGGUCGGAGCUCGAGCUAGAGGCCGAGAUGGGGAAGGUCAAAAAAGGAGACCGGAUGGAGGUGCUCGAGGCCGAGGAAGCUGGAGAUGCACAACUAGCUUCACUGGCCAUCCGGUGGUUGGAGCACGGGGCAACGCUCCAGUUGCGAUGGGGUGGAGCUGCGCAGGAGGGGAAGGAGGCUCGCGACAGGGAGCCGGGCCAGGGAGGAGGCAAGGGAAUUACGUGGUUUUGGGUUUGUGAAAUUCCACCACCCUAAGGGUGUUGCAUAUGCUAACCAAGAAAUGAAUCAUCAAGUUAUUUGCGGUCGAGAGAUUACAAUGGUUUUUGCCGAGGAGAAUAGAAAACCCCCACAAGAAAUGCGCUUCAGAACAAGAUCAAGAACUAGCUUUGUUUAUCAAAUGCUCAGGUUAGUACGCAUUGGUUAACAAUGGAAGGGUCAUUGUGGUGCCUGUUGGGCCUUUGAUGUUGUGGAGUGUCUGCAAGAUCGUUUCUGCAUUCCUAACGGCAUGGACAUUUCACUUUCCGUCAAUAAGCAUUUAUCUCCAUGUUAACUUGGUGUAAGGUAGUCUUGAUGAUGUGUUGAGGCGGUCUGCUCAGUGACCGUUAGUAAGGUUGCUCAUCUGCAAGCGAAAGAGCUUUGUGCAUUCUUGCAUGACUAAGGAAGAAAUUUGUUAUUUGAAGUAUGCACUACAGAUAUUGCAAGCACAGGGGAGGAGAAUGGACUAGUGAUGGGCCUGAUAAUACCAUUCUUCAGGAGUUCCAAGAUAAUCUUCUUCAGGAUUUCUUUUUGAUGCUGAGGAAUUCUAUAUGGCCUUUGGUUAACCACUUUUGCUCCCUCUACCAAAGGAAUUCUACGAUCACAGGGCCUACUUGGUGGAAGUUCAGUAGGUUCCUGAAAUAGUUUCUCAUACUGAUCCAACAGUGGUUUGAAUGCAGCAGGAGUCUCUUGAGCAGCUGCUACCAUUUGAGGACCAGAAGUAGUAAACAAGAAGAAUCCACACACAGCUUGUUCCACUAAUUUCUCAGUGUGGUCAGUUACUUCAGUAACAGUAGUAAGAGGUACAGUUUCAUCCACAAAAGUGAUAAACUGCCCUUCAGGAGCAGAUAUCUUCAUUUCCAUCUUAAUGAAAUCCAUUUGUAUGGGGCUAUAUUUCCUCAACCAAUCUACUCCUAAGAUGAUGUCAUAGCCUUUUAACUUUAGUACUCUGAAGCUGUCAAUAAAUGCAUGGCCUUGUAUUGCAUAGUGACAGUUCUUUGCUUGGAAUUCACUCCAGAGGAUCCCUACACUAGCAACUACUCCCUCCGUCCCAAAAUUCUUGUCUUAGAUUUGUCCAAAUACGGAUGUAUCAAGUCACAUUUUAGUAUUAAGUACAUCCGUAUCUAGACAAAUCUAAGACAAGAAUUUUGGGACGGAGGGAGUACUACUUUAGUUUUUGGUGUAGGACUGGGAACAACAUCCGACUUAGUAGCCACCUGAGGAGAUAUAAAAGUAGUAGUACUGCCACUGUCCACCAGUGCAAUUGCCAGAGUAUUUCCCAAUUUAACUGUCAGUAUGAAAGUAUUUUUAGUUGCUCCAAUGCCCAUGGCAGCAUGCAUUGAUACUUUCAGUACUGUUUCCUCAGUUAGCUGCUCUGUAUUGUCUAGCUCCUGAUCAUCAUAUUCUGCCACAAAUAUAGUUUCAGGAGUUCCAUCUUCUUGAGCUUGUAGAGCUUGGAUUUGAGCUUUCUGGUUCAUUUUACACACUUGCCUAUGACCAGGCACCCAAGGCUCUCUACAUUUAUAACACACCUGGUUCUGUUUGGCCUGCUGAAUAACCACAUUCCUGUUUUGUGGUGCAGUUGGAAGCAGUUGUUUGGGCUGUUCAAAAAUGACUUAUCUUUUUGGUUGAGGAACAUACUGCUUAUUUUGCACUGACUGAGAGGAAGGCUGAGAUUUCUCCAUUCUUCUGGCAUACCACACUGCAGUUUGCAGAUCUUUUGGUUUAAAACAUUCCACUAAACUUCUGAUGUAAGGGUUGAGGCCUGAGACAAAGCUGGAGACAUAAUAGUCAUCAGGUAUAGCAGGGUUUUCUCUCCUCAUUCCAUUGACCAAUUGCUCAAAUUGUUCCACAUAAGCAGCCAUUGUUGUUGCUUGAUGUGCAGCAUGAAAGUUACUGACCACAUCACAAGCUGAUUCCACAGAGAACCUAUCAGAUAGGUAAGAACAGAAUUUAUGCCAUGGCACAUUGGAGGGUGCAUAUCCAGUACCCCUCCACCACUGAAUAGCAGGUCCUUUAAGAUAAGAAAUUGCCAGUUCUGUUCUAUGUUCAAUGGGAGUUCUUGCAGCAGCAAAAUACUGUUCCAAAUUCUGAAUCCAUGACUCAGGAUCUUGUCCUUCAAAUUCUGAUAUGUUCAACUUAGCAGGCUUAACAGUCAGAACAUUCCUUUUUCUGUAAUAAUUCUCAACUCCAUCUUCCUGUAUUUCCUCCAACUGAAUUACAUUUCUCUGCACUGCCUGAAACUGUUCCUUGUCCUUACUCUGACCAUAGUGUGGGUUCCUGUAGGGAACCUUAGGAGUCCCAUCCAUAUUCAGUUCCUUACCAGCCUGAUCACGCAGAACAGCUGUCCCAAUUGGAAAAGGGGCAACUUUGUCAGGCAUUGCCACCGAUGGUGGUGUAGGAGCUUGGAGCUGCUUGGGCCUACCCGGAGCUACCUGAGGUGAGUUAACAUGGUUGUCCUUAACCUGCACACUGCCUUGGCCUUCUUCAACCUGAUCCUCCUGUGCUGGCUCGGGUUCUAACAACAGACGCCUGAAAUUGUCCUGAAUUUUCUCAAAGUUCUUUUGCAUCGUUGCAAAAUUUCUGUUUACAGAUGCCUGAAACUGCUGGAACUCCUUGCGAUCCUCUUCUCGCUCCCGCUGGAACGUUUUGAUGUCCAACUCAAGGGAAUCCAGCUACAAUUCGGCCGUUGACCCUGAAUCCAUCGGGCCCGUCAUCUUGAAAUCGUCGGCAAUCAACACCAUAGAGGGUUGGGAGGGUGGGAGGACUAGUCACCGCCGCCUACGCCGCCGCCAGCGCCCACCUCCGAUGGUACACGAGCAGAUCACAGGAGCUGGGAUUUCACUACCUGAAAAGUGUUCCCGGGCAACCAGACUGUUCUUCUGCUUGUACCCGAACUCUGCCACUCUGGCCGCCACCAGAUGCCACUGCCGCUAGAUCGGGGUGAGAUGAGGGAUUUUACAGCCGGAACCAACCUCUUCUACCCCCAAUCAACCAUGCCGCCGAGGAAGGACUGGCUCUGAUACCAAUUGUCAGGACCAGAGUCCCUCUGUACUGAAUUUAAGCACGAACUAGUAGGUUUCAGACAAGAAUUUGGGCGAAUUUAGCUAGGGUUUUCAUUGCAAGAGGAAGGGAAGGUAGUAGCACGCCACCGGCGGCUAGGGUUUACACCCAAUAAUUCUAUUACAUGCCUCGAAUGGAAGGGAAAGCUGGCUUAUAUAGCCAUUACAGUAGCUGUAAAGCAGAAAAGCAGAAAAGUGCAAGCACAUGGCUUGUCGGACGGUGAACAGCUUCUCCCGCGUCUUCUAAGCCGUUGGAUGGUUGAUCGACGGAGGAGAGAAACCCACUUAAGUGAACCGUUAGCUUGGCCCUGAGACCGUAGGAUUUGAGAUGGACGGCUGUCAAUGCAACUGACAUGCAGGAACAGGGGAACUUAAGAACUGAGCCUGACAGGUGCAUAUCAGGGUGAGCUUCCCCAAUCCUUAUUUCCCCUCCGCUCAUGAUCUCUCUCUCCUACCCAUCUUCUAUGCAAGAUUUGUGUAGCCUAAAGCCUUUGUAUGAUACGUGUAGGUAUACCUUUGGAAGAAAAAAUCAAUCAAAUGUUAAUUCUCCAAGGUAACUUGCCUUUUCUACGCAGGUACUGCUUGUUUAGUACUGUGGAUAGUACUGUGGAUAAGUAAAUGUAAGCAUGCCCCAAUAAUGAUACGAACAAGGUUUGAGAGGCUCAAUCAUUUUCAUUUAUACUAAGAAUUAACCAGUUCACUAAUUUCUAUGCUACUAAUAGUGUCGUCUGAAUAUAUCUACUACAUUCACUGCACUGUGCUUACAUUCACACUGAUUGUAGCUGCAAGUUAAGAUCUAAUUGUCCAAGAUAAUUCUGAGGACCUAACACAACGUGCGGUUUUGAACUAAGUGAUAUUUUCUGGCCUUACUCCCAUGUACUUUUAAAAUCAAUUUUAAUGAUAUCGAUAGGUUAAGGUCAUUCAUGAGGAGAGGUGUUGGGGCGGAGUCCCAGGUGUAGCUACUAUUGCCCUAUCAAUUCUGUAGUCACCUCUUUCUGAACAUUGGUUAGUUCUUCACGAGCGAUACUAUACUCUUGCUGCCUCUUAGUAUUCUCCGUUUAUUCUAAUAAGUGUAUGUGGACACACGCAGACAGUAACGGAACAAGCACAACAGUUCUCUUUGUGUUUUAGUGGGUAUAUGUGGAUGUACAGAAAGUGGUCUCUGUUUAUUAACGGGUUACAUGUUGCUGCAAUGAAAAUGUAUAUGGUGAUUUUCAUUCUGGUUUGCAGGGUAGUACAUGGAGCAUAGAAACUGAGUCGAAAGUCUGUCUUUUGUGCAGGAAUUUACUGCAGGUCUGAUCCCUUGCUCGUGCUCUCUGCUUGUCCUCACUCUGUAGACCUUUCCUUUGCUCGUAGCCAUACAUUUUAUUCAGAGUGCUGUCAAGACGCAUCUCCUCUGCCUAUAUGGCGGGCAGAGGGCCUAAGCUCUAGCUUAAACUGAAAUCAAUGCAUGGUAUUGUUCAAUUCGAAGUGUACUUGACGUGUGCAGAUCUGAGGAUAAAGGGAAGAAGACGGAAUUUAGCUGAGGAGUUGAAUAGGAUCAAGGUUAUUAUUCCACAAUCAUUUGUUGGGUUUAAGGAUAUAAACAACAUGGCUUACGAGGAUUUGGACUGCUGUUCUUUUAGUUCCACUCUUAAAUCUUUUGGUUCUUGAAGGCCUGCACUUUCCUGGUGGAGUAAGAGCAAAAUAAUUCAGAGGCUUUAAAGCUGCUGCACUUUAGUAGUUAGGAUUAAUUCUUUGUUUUGGUUUGAAAUGCUCCCCAAUUCCUCUUAUUUGAUUGAUUCAUCUGAUGGUCAUUUGUCAGGCAAAUAAACAGAAGGCAUAUGUAUUGUUUUGAGUGAAGCCAUCCAUACAAGGCAAUAUAUUAAUUAUCCCAUAUGUGGAAUUCAAGAUAGAGAGAAAUGUUAUUGUUCUUCUGCUAAUUGGUUGCUUGACAAAUGUACUAUAAAUGAUGUUAUUAUUGUACGAGAUAUAGAGAAAUGUUAUUGUUCUUCAAUUAUUGAGAUGAUAGAAGUACUACUUA